CGUAUUAAACCACAACUUUCCUCCCAACUGAAAGUGCUUUACAACCCGAAAGCCUUCUUCACACACGCGGCAUGGCUGCAUCAGGCUUGCGCCCAUUGUGCAAUAUUCCCCA
rnacentral:rRNA from 1 species